GGCUCAGGACGAACGCUGGCGGCGCGCUUAACACAUGCAAGUCGAGCGAGAACCAGGGCUUCGGCCCUGGGGAAAGCGGCGAACGGGUGAGUAACACGUGAGUAAUCCACCCUCGGUACCGGGAUAGCCCGGGGAAACCCGGAUUAAUACCGGAUGGCCCAGCAGCUCUUCGGAGCGGCUGGAAAAGGUAGCUUCGGCCUCCGACCGAGGACGAGCUCGCGGCGGAUUAGCUUGUUGGUGGGGUAACGGCCUACCAAGGCGACGAUCCGUAGCUGGUCUGAGAGGACGAUCAGCCACACUGGGACUGAGACACGGCCCAGACUCCUACGGGAGGCAGCAGUGGGGAAUCUUGCGCAAUGGGCGAAAGCCUGACGCAGCGACGCCGCGUGCGGGAAGAAGGCCUUCGGGUUGUAAACCGCUUUCAGGAGGGACGAAGCUACUCGGGUUAAUAGCCCAGAGGGUGACGGUACCUCCAGAAGAAGCCCCGGCUAACUACGUGCCAGCAGCCGCGGUAAUACGUAGGGGGCAAGCGUUGUCCGGAUUUAUUGGGCGUAAAGAGCGUGUAGGCGGCUAUACAGGUCCGUUGUGAAAACUCGAGGCUCAACCUCGAGACGCCGAUGGAAACCGUAUGGCUAGAGUCCGGAAGAGGAGAGCGGAAUUCCUGGUGUAGCGGUGAAAUGCGCAGAUAUC
rnacentral:rRNA from 1 species